AUUGAACGCUGGCGGCAGGCCUAACACAUGCAAGUCGAGCGAGCGGCGGACGGGUGAGUAAUGUAUGGGGACUGCCCGAUAGAGGGGGAUAACUACUGGAAACGGUAGCUAAUACCGCAUACUACAGUAUAACCCAUAUGGGACUAGCUAGUAGGUGAGGUAAUGGCUAACCUAGGCAACGAUCCCUAGCUGGUCUGAGAGGAUGAUCAGCCACACUGGGACUGAGACACGGCCCAGACUCCUACGGAGGCAGCAGUGGGGAAUAUGGCACAAUGGGCGCAAGCCUGAUGCAGCCAUGCCGCUUGUAUGAAGAAGGCCCUAGGGUUGUAAAGUACUUUCAGUCGGGAGGCGUUACCGACAGAAGAAGCACCGGCUAACUCCGUGCCAGCAGCCGCGGUAAUUC
rnacentral:rRNA from 1 species